rnacentral:rRNA from 1 species
UACGUAGGCAGCGAGCGUUGUUCGGAGUUACUGGGCGUAAAGGGUGUGUAGGCGGUUGUUUAAGUUUGGUGUGAAAUCUCCCGGCUCAACUGGGAGGGUGCGCCGAAUACUGAAUGACUAGAGUGCGGGAGAGGAAAGUGGAAUUCCUGGUGUAGCGGUGAAAUGCGUAGAUAUCAGGAGGAACACCGGUGGUGUAGACGGCUCACUGGACCGUAACUGACGCUGAGACACGAAAGCUAGGGGAGCAAACGGG